rnacentral:rRNA from 1 species
UACGUAGGGGGCAAGCGUUGUCCGGAUUUAUUGGGCGUAAAGAGCGUGUAGGCGGCCAGAUAGGUCUGUUGUGAAAACUCGAGGCUCAACCUCGAGACGCCGAUGGAAACCAUUUGGCUAGAGUCCGGAAGAGGAGAGUGGAAUUCCUGGUGUAGCGGUGAAAUGCGCAGAUAUCAGGAAGAACACCCGUGGCUAAGGCAGCUCUCUAGUACGGUACUGACGCUGAGACGCGAAAGCGUGGGGAGCGAACAGG